CGCGCCCUACGGGGGCAGCAGUGAGGAAUAUUGGUCAAUGGCCGAGAGGCUGAACCAGCCAAGUCGCGUGAGGGAUGACGGCCGUACGGGUUGUAAACCUCUUUUGUCGGGGAGCAAGACCCGCCUCGUGCAGGCGGAGCGAGAGUACCCGAAGAAAAAGCAUCGGCUAACUCCGUGCCAGCAGCCGCGGUAAUACGGAGGAUGCGAGCGUUAUCCGGAUUUAUUGGGUUUAAAGGGAGCGCAGGCGGACCAUCAAGUCAGCGGUAAAAUCGUGGUGCCCAACCCCAUCCCCCCGUUGAAACUGG
rnacentral:rRNA from 1 species